rnacentral:rRNA from 1 species
GACGAACGCUGGCGGCGUGCCUAAUACAUGCAAGUAGAACGCACAGUUUAUACCGUAGCUCGCUACACCAUAGACUGUGAGUUGCGAACGGGUGAGUAACGCGUAGGUAACCUGCCUGGUAGCGGGGGAUAACUAUUGGAAACGAUAACUAAUACCGCAUAAUAUUAAUUAUUGCAUGAUAAUUAAUUGAAAGGUGCAAUUGCACCACUACCAGAUGGACCUGCGUUGUAUUAGCUAGUAGGUGAGGUAACGGCUCACCUAGGCGACGAUACAUAGCCGACCUGAGAGGGUGAUCGGCCACACUGGGACUGAGACACGGCCCAGACUCCUACGGGAGGCAGCAGUAGGGAAUCUUCGGCAAUAGACGAAAGUCUGACCGAGCAACGCCGCGUGAGUGAAGAAGGUUUUCGGAUCGUAAAGCUCUGUUGUAAGAGAAGAACGGGUGUGAGAGUGGAAAGUUCACACUGUGACGGUAUCUUACCAGAAAGGGACGGCUAACUACGUG